GGCGUGGAGAAAGAUAGUGCACAUGCAGAUCUAUACCCCCUGCCGUAACAAUCAUGCCCUCUCCGGAUAUGGCCUCCGUGCUGGCUCCCACAAUAAAAUCCACAUCGUCCAUAAUAUCCGGGUUGCCGCCCUUGCCGAUGGCCAGUAUCCUGCCGUCCCGGAUUCCGAUAUCCGCCUUAUAGAUUCCUGUAUAAUCAAGGAUGAUAGCUCCGGAUAUAAUGGUAUCCGCGACCAGGGGAUUCGUCUUGCGAAGCUGGGUGGCAUUGACACCCAUGCCGUCCCGC
rnacentral:sRNA from 1 species